UACGAAGGGGGCUAGCGUUGCUCGGAAUCACUGGGCGUAAAGCGCACGUAGGCGGAUUGUUAAGUCAGGGGUGAAAUCCUGGAGCUCAACUCCAGAACUGCCUUUGAUACUGGCGAUCUUGAGUCCGGGAGAGGUGAGUGGAACUGCGAGUGUAGAGGUGAAAUUCGUAGAUAUUCGCAAGAACACCAGUGGCGAAGGCGGCUCACUGGCCCGGUACUGGACGCUGAGGUGCGAAAGCG
rnacentral:rRNA from 1 species